rnacentral:tRNA from 1 species
GGAUCAGUGGUGUACAAGGUGUAGGUGUGCACGUUUGUCUGAAAAGCAGAAGGGAACCGUUCAAUUCGGUUCUGAUCCA